CAACAGGGAUUGCCUUAGUAACUGCGAGUGAAGCGGCAAAAGCUCAAAUUUGAAAUCUGGCACCUUCGGUGUCCGAGUUGUAAUUUGGAGAGACAUCUUCGGGAUGAACGCUGUCCUAAGUUCCUUGGAACAGGACGUCACAGAGGGUGAGAAUCCCGUAUGUGGAUGGCUGUUUCGUUCCAUGUGAAGUGUCUUCGACGAGUCGAGUUGUUUGGGAAUGCAGCUCAAAAUGGGUGGUAAAUGUCAUCUAAAGCUAAAUAUUGGCGAGAGACCGAUAGCGCACAAGUAGAGUGAUCGAAAGAUGAAAAGCACUUUGAAAAGAGAGUUAAAAAGUACGUGAAAUUGUUGAAAGGGAAGCGCUUGAGACCAGACUCAAUCUGUGGUGAUCAGCAGUGCUUCUGCGCUGUGCACUUGCCACUCUUUGGGGCAGCAUCGGUUUGGAUGGUGGGAUAAAGACCUGAGGAACGUAGCUCUCUUCGGGGAGUGUUAUAGCCUCGGGUGUAAUGCCACCUAUCCAGACCGAGGACCGCGCUUCGGCUAGGAUGCUGCCAUAAUGGUCUUCAGCGACCCGUCUUGAAACACGGACCAAGGAGUCUAACAUCUAUGCGAGUGUUCGGGUGGAAAACCCUUGCGCGUAAUGAAAGUGAACGGAGGUGGGAACCGUUUAGGGGCACCAUCGACCGAUCCUGAUGUCUUCGGAUGGAUUUGAGUAAGAGCAUAGCUGUUGGGACCCGAAAGAUGGUGAACUAUGCCUGAAUAGGGUGAAGCCAGAGGAAACUCUGGUGGAGGCUCGCAGCGGUUCUGACGUGCAAAUC
rnacentral:rRNA from 1 species